GGCCUCCAGCCCCGCCGGGAAGCGGCUAGGACCGACACCGCAUCCCGCGGGACGCGAAAGCCCCGGGGAAGCCGAAGCAGUGCUAACGUCGCCGAGCCCCCCAGGAACGGCCGCGGGAGAGAAAAGGACUUUAAGCGGCAGAAUCGCGGGGCAGGCAGUGAGGGCUAAUGGGUGCAGCCGCGGCUGCUCCGCGCGCGACCCCGCCCCUCCCUCCUCAGCACGAGACCGCAAAGGUGCUGCGCCCCGUCCAUUCCACCAAUCAGAUAACGGCACAAAGGAGGGGGGCUGCCUCCUCUUCCCUCCUGCCAUGCAAAUGAGCCAUAAACAAGCAAACAAACGCACCGCCGCUGAGGCGCAGAACGGGGAGGGAGAGGCAGACACGUGUCGGGCAGCUGCCUAUUGACACAUCCACACCAGACCCAGGAGUCCGCCCCCCCCGCCGCCUCCCCUUACCUGCGCGCCCGCCCGCCCGCCGCUCCUUCUGCCGCCACCGCGCGCCUGAAGCGCUGCGCCGCCGCCCGAAUGCGCAAGGCGCGCGGGCUACUGGUCUCCCCCCCCGCCUGCUCCGGGGCGGUGGGGGGAGGGGCUGGACAAACAAGCAAACAGGCAGAGGCCCGAACGGGAGGGGAGGCACGUAGCGCGGAAGACCUCCCCCGCCGUGUAGCCCGAACAGAUCGGCGCGCGUCAUGCUUCCUCGCGCGUCGCGAUGAGACCCGGGCGGGGGACGCUGCUGUGGCGAGGGGGCACCGUCAAACCUCCGCAUCGAAGGAGGGGCGAAGCGGGGCUACUUGGGCGGGCAGGGGGAUUAUUCCCCAGUGCUCAGCGAAGAAAAAGGCAAUAACUGAGAUGGGUCCAAAGCGCCUGAUCCUCAGAACGGUUGACAUAAAGGACGGAGGCGGCACAACGUCCUUCUUAUUUUGUAAUUGAUGAUCGUUUAAUUGUGGAGGCGCAAGCUGCGAGCUCAGCGCCGGCUUCUGUGGAAAUGCUGCCCCCCCCGCCCUCGCUGGGAGCGGCCACGGCGAAGGCGCAGCAGGCCAGCUUCUUCACCUGGGCUUCGAAAGCCCGAUUUNACCCGGCCGCAGAUGUUCCCGAGACGGCUCCCGGACGGCUCGUUAUUUCCAGCUUCCCACAAGAGCCGUGGAAAUUCACCCUGUGCCAUUUUGCUUUUCCUGUGCCAGGUCAUAAAAGACAGGGACUGUGAAAGCAAGCUACACCUGUUAGGGCUUGAGGUGCUCAGCAGACCAGGAGAGCGAAGCCCAGCCGCCUGCCACGCACAAGUCUGCUGGUUGAACGAGACACGGAGUAGAAGCGAAUUCCAGUUUUGCUUUGUGUUACUAUAAACACAGGCAGAAGCUGAGCAGAGCCUGUGCUGUUAUUUUUCCAACUCUAGCAUCUAGCUCGGAUUUCUUGCAGUCAAAAGAAGGAAAA
rnacentral:lncRNA from 1 species